UUUUUUUCAGCUUUCUGCUUCAUCUUCUUCUGCAGCAGCAGCAGCAGCAGCAGUCGGAGUAACGACAAUCGCAGUCGCAGUCGCAGCUUCAACAUCUUCAGCUUCCCCACUGACGUUGAGAGUCAAGAGUCGAGAGCUGAGAUUGAAGAGUGAAGAGUGGAGUCGACGGGGUCGGGGCCACGCCAUUGAAACGAGUUUCCUUGGACAACGACUGAGGCUGGGAAUAGGUGGAGUAGGAGUUGUACAGCUGGAGUGCUGGACAUUUAGCUCAGCUCAGCUCAAGCUGAGGGGCCCAGCAAUUAAAUGUGAAAACAGUUGCGUUGCCCACAGUCGCCCCAUCGAUGCAUGUUGCUUGCUGCUCUCGCUCGUAACUGAAAUAAGUUUUCAAUGAAUAUAAUUAUGCAAAGCAGAACGAGCAGAAGGACGCGUCACACAGUUUGCCAGGACACUUGGUCGCCCCCUCGAUGGGUGGCCAAAAAAAAACGCAUUAAAAUUACCAGAAAGAUGGCCGACAAAAAAUCAUUUGCUGUCAAUUGUCCUUCAGCUGGAAAAAGUCUUGACGGCGGCCUGCGCGAAGUUUUUAAUUUUUAUCAAAGAUUUUUCGGCUCAGUUUUUUAAUGAAAUUUCUGGCAUUGGUCUGCCAAAGGAUUUGGCUGCUUGUCGUGCAUAAUUUGCAUAAAUUGUUUUGAGCAGGAGCUGAAGGAGCAGCAAUUUUUAAUUUGUGAUUUUCUAGUGAGUGUCCUUAAGGAAGUUUUUCGUCGGCAACUUUUUC